AUUUUGUCAUAAAUUACAAGCAGUGCAAAGAAACACACAAAAUAAUGAUACCUAGUAUAGUAAUAAUUUUUGCAUCUAAAUGUUAGAUUAUUUUUAAUUUAUUUUAUUUUGUUAAUUUUUGUGCAUCUACAAUAUACGACAAUUCAAUUUUUUUUAAAAAAAUUUCCUACAGAAUUCUUCGGCCUAUGCAUUGCAUAGACUUUCUGCUAGUAAUUUAUAUAUAAUAAGAGAAAAUACAGCUUUAUAAAGUAGUUUAUACUAGUGAAUUAAUUUUAAAUCUUACAUUUAAAUCUUGAGAGCGGUGAAGUUUUAGCAGUUGAUGUUUCAUGCAUUGUUGCUGUCUUAGUUUGAUUAAGCAUUUCUCUUCUGCUUUGUAAAUAUGGUUAAUUUCACCUCAACCUCAGGCUUUGCUGGUAUUGAGCUUCUUCUGUAUUUACAUCUGUUGUUUUAGUCUGCCUAUAGAAGUUGGUUAGCUGAUAUAAUUCGAAUUCUGGAUUUUUGUGCAAAUGUGAAUCAUAUAUAAUUUGUGUGUUAUGACCAUUCUUCUUUUACCUCUUUCCAGUGGGAUAAAAACAUGUAUGAUCAAUGUUUAAUGCUUUUAUUUUGCUUUUUCACUUGAUUGCAUAAUAUAUAGUUCAGUACAUUCAUUUAUCAGUUAUGUCAAUUUAGAACUGAGUAGUAACACUUCGUUGCUGCAUAAUUAAAAGAUACAAAUUUGACAAUGUUAUUUAAGGGAUAAGAGACAAAAAUUGUAAAAUUGUUUCCAGUUUGCUAUAAUCUAUAAUGUUUGCCAUGUCACUUGUAGUUUCUUGAUCUUAGCUCAUUGCAAGCUGCUCUGCCCGAUGCACAGUUACAACCCACUUUCCAUAGUGGUAUUGCCAAACCAUGGCUUCCUCAAAAUUCAGUUAACUCCUACAUCUCCUCUGCUGAACAAGGUGGUGGUUUGACAUCCUUGCCUGCUCAACCACCAAGUUCUCAAAUAUCAUGCUCUGUAUCCUUUAUGCAAAGGGGGAAGGCCUUCUAUGACUUCCAUUUCAAGACAAGGCUUGUAAAAUCCCCAAGCCUUAUGUACGAUCUAAAGGAAGGAAGUUUGACAGGGCUAGAGGAAGGAGGAACAACAAAGGACAUAGGAUUUAAGUUGUAUUAUUUUUGUAUUUUUCUUCAGUUUUUAGUUAUGGAAUUUGAACUCGAGAUUUAUUUUGUA